rnacentral:ncRNA from 1 species
CACUAGUUUACCAGUUGUCCGGCAGGGCAAUGCUGGGUAGCCACGCUCCAGUGGAUAAGAGCUGAAAGCAUCUAAGCUCGAAGUCAUCCGAAAGACGAGGCAUCUCAGGGGACUCAUAGAAGAUGAGUUUGAUAGACAGCGGGUGUAAGUACCGAGGGUUCGCCCGAGGUAUUCAGCCCAGCUGCACUAACCCCCCGAGCAUUCAUCAAU